GAUGAACGCUGGCGGCGUGCCUAAUACAUGCAAGUCGAGCGAACAGACGAGGAGCUUGCUCCUCUGACGUUAGCGGCGGACGGGUGAGUAACACGUGGAUAACCUACCUAUAAGACUGGGAUAACUUCGGGAAACCGGAGCUAAUACCGGAUAAUAUAUUGAACCGCAUGGUUCAAUAGUGAAAGACGGUUUUGCUGUCACUUAUAGAUGGAUCCGCGCCGCAUUAGCUAGUUGGUAAGGUAACGGCUUACCAAGGCAACGAUGCGUAGCCGACCUGAGAGGGUGAUCGGCCGCACUGGAACUGAGACACGGUCCAGACUCCUACGGGAGGCAGCAGUAGGGAAUCUUCCGCAAUGGGCGAAAGCCUGACGGAGCAACGCCGCGUGAAUGAUGAAGGUCUUCGGAUCGUAAAACUCUGUUAUUAGGGAAGAACAAAUGUGUAAGUAACUAUGCACGUCUUGACGGUACCUAAUCAGAAAGCCACGGCUAACUACGUG
rnacentral:rRNA from 1 species